GUACAAGAUGAGUGGACAUGGGAGAGAAAAGGGAAUUUACAGCCUUAGCAAUUACCUGCAAGUGAAGGCUGUUGUGACUCCUUUGGAAAAGCCUGCUUGGCUUUAGGAUGGGUGGAUGAAUCCACAUUGCGUAACUUUUCUCCCUUUUCUUGUUCUUUUUGUUGUUCACAUUGUCAACAAUAAAUACAGAAGUCCAAAUUUCA
rnacentral:misc_RNA from 1 species